GAUGAACGCUGGCGGCGUGCCUAAUACAUGCAAGUCGAGCGAACAGACGAUGAGCUUGCUCCUCUCACGUUAGCCGCGGACGGGUGAGUAACACGUGGAUAACCUACCUAUAAGACUGAUAUAACUUCGGGAAACCGGCGCUAAUCCCGUAUAAUAUAUUGAACCGCAUGGUUCAAUAGUGAAAGACGGUUUUGCUGUCACUUCUAGAUGGAUCCGCGCCGCAUUAGCUAGUUGGUAAGGUAACGGCUUACCAAGGCAACGAUGCGUAGCCGACCUGAGAGGCUGGUCGGCGACACGAGAGGGGAAACGGCGUCAAGACGCCUACGGGAGGCAGCAGUAGGGAAUCGGCCGCAGUGGGCGAGAGCUUGACGGAGCAAGCGCGAGUGAGUGGUGACGGUCUUCGGAUCGUAAAGCUCUGUUAUGAGGGAUGAACAAAUGUGGACGGAAAUGUGCAGGUAGUGACGGUACCUAAUCAGAAAGCCACGGCUAACUACGUG
rnacentral:rRNA from 1 species